UACGUAGGGUGCAAGCGUUAUCCGGAAUUAUUGGGCGUAAAGAGCUCGUAGGCGGUCUGUCGCGUCUGCUGUGAAAACUGGGGGCUCAACCCCCAGCCUGCAGUGGGUACGGGCAGACUAGAGUGCGGUAGGGGAGAUUGGAACUCCUGGUGUAGCGGUGGAAUGCGCAGAUAUCAGGAGGAACACCGGUGGCGAAGGCGGUUCUCUGGGCAUUACCUGACGCUGAGGAGCGAAAGUGUGGGGAGCGAACAGG
rnacentral:rRNA from 1 species